AAUGUUUUAGGUUAAAAAAACCUAGGGCCUUCAAAGCCCUCAUUAAGAAUCUUUUUAAACAUUA
rnacentral:tRNA from 1 species